ACAUAAUGUUGUCGGGCAUAUGUCCUUGCAUAGCACGGGCACCGGCCAUCUAGUUUUUAUUUAUUUUAGAAGUGGAAGUUGAUGGGACGAACAUGUGCUAGAUGUUAUUGUACAAGAAGCCUUAAAAGUUGUAUUCUCGGAUUAGUUUGUAUACCUUUACCUCUCUCACUCCAAGACGUGUACUGCUUCUACAAACACGUGUACCCAUACCUCUCCCACUGAACUAAAUGGUUAAUACCUAAUUCCAUCUCCUCAUUCUCUCCCUUGCUCUCCUUACUUACACUUCUCUGUUACUAAUAAAUAAAGGGUCACUUAGGCACAGGCUAUGGAGGCCCAAUUCCAAAUAAUAAUAGAGAAAUGUCACUACGACGAUAGAUUGUGCAUUAGGAUUUAGGAGUACAAACAUGAGGUAAUCUAUAAGGCAGAGAUCUAUCAUCCGGCAGCACCAAAGGGAAAAUCAGAUACAAUCCAAAGUGGCAUGGAGUUCUUUUUCUGAUCCAUUUUUCUAUUCGUGAGCUUCAUUCGCCACUUUCGACACUUUAAUGAGUGAACUGGAAAGACAUUGCAGUUGUAGGUGAGCGUCAAUGCAUCACUUUUCUUUCUUCAUCUUAUUUCCUUUCAUCUUUCUUAUUCUGUCUGUAUUAUCUUAGUAAAAUUGAGAAUUCAAUAAAGGAUUGAGGAAUUUUUAACUGAACAAAAUGAAACUAAAAAUGAUGUGAAGGAAGGAUAAACAGAAUAUGGAGGGAGGAGUACAUUAUAGAUUUCUGGUUAGCUUUAGUUCGAUGAGUAGCUUUGAGAAUUAGCACCCUUCUGCCAGGUGAAAGCCAGUUAGAGCUGCAUGAUCUUUUCGUUGCAUUCAGUGAUAAUCGCAUGUUCUUUUUAAUGCUAAAUGACAUUCCACUAUGAUUUGGUGCAUCAAAUUGUAUAAUGUAAAAUUGGAGGUUAAAUGGUAAAGAUAGAAAAUUGAGAAGAGUAUAAACUGCACAAGAGACAGGAGUUGGGAAAGUAUAAACUCCACUCAGUUCACAAUCUUGCACAUGAUCCAAAACCUAAAAAAAUAGAAGCAGGAGUUAGGAAAGUUGAUGCAAGAUCAAAAGACAUUCACAAGCUCUCUUUUCGGUGCUACAUCUAUUACAAGGGGUACUUUGCUCGCUAAGAACCUCUUUUAAUUCUUUUGAGUUCAAAUUUUAGUGCAUUUUUGUUAUUUGCUAAUUUUUUGAAGAGAUUCAAACAUUAUCAAGCAUGUGCUUUAUUUCAAUCUAAGGUUCUUUUCUGUAUAACUAAAAGAUUGAAAAGACAAGUCUGGUUUUCAUGAGGCAAUAAAUAUGUAAACUGCUAUAUGAAGACUCUUAUUUUUUGUGCUACUCUUUUUCUAAGAUUUCACUUUGCUCCUUGGGUUUCUCAUUCUGGUUAUUUAUUUUGGAAGGAACAUGCAAUAGUUUUAUGGUUUCGGUUUCAAAUAGAAGAUCAUUUCCUUUGUUUUUUUAUAAUUUGAUUGAAAUGAGAAGAAGUUGUCCUUGCUAGCUUCUUUUUAUAUUUUUGGUAAUGUAAAAAAGAAAAGCAGCAAGACAUCGCACAUUAAUCUACUCUGAGCUAUAAAGGAACUGUUAGGGAAAUGUUGAGAAAAUACUAUUCUUCAAUUAAUUUGUCGCAACACUUUUUCAGUAAAGGAGUGAACCAGAAACUAUUCAUAUCCAUAAACCAUGACCCCAUAUUCCUUCUCAGCUUCAAUACACUUUAAUUUACUUAGUUAAACUGUAGUUUUUGAAAAAUAUACAAGAAGCUUAAAACCCGAACUUCAUGGCUAAAGUCCCACAAUUAAACCUAAUAAAACCAAUCCCAUAAUUGAACAAGAUAAAUUACUAUUGAAAUCCAAAUAAGUUUCUCCUUUCUUUUCCAGCUGAUGAAGUAUUUUAUAAGAGAGAAAAAUUGAUGCAGAAGUCUCAUAUGACGUCUUAAGAUGAUGAUUCCGCAUGCUAGAUGUCUUAUAGUUUUGUCUAUUAUGCACAUUUUGCAUUUGGAAUAGGACGUGGAAAAUGAUUUGGCAUGUGUUUAGUGGAAAGAAAGGAACCAGAGAUAUUUCUAUGGGAGUUCUAUGGCUUUAUGCUGUUUGAUGUUCAAAUUAUCAUAUCUCGGCACUGCACGUGAUGCACACAAUAGCACUAUUUUAGUUGUGUUCAUUCCUGCCUUUCUCACUUAUAUAUAGUACAAAUUUAUUCAUUUUAUGAAAGGAUAUUUUGAAGGGUGGGCUCCUUCUUUACAAGACUACUCUAAAUUUCUUUUCCUUUCUCUAAAUUUUAAAAUGUACUACGUUACUUAUGACUCCUUUUCACCCCACUAAAUAUGCUACUUCUUGACUGCAGGUAAAAAGAUUAGAAUACUUCAUUUUUUGUGCAAAUCAACCCUUCUUAUAAAAACUAAUCUGCAACUCUUAAUUUAUUGGACUUAUGAAGAAGAGUUUGUGAGAUCCAAGAGAUAAAAAUUAUAAUUUGUAGUAACAGAAUGUUCCUAAGAGUUUCUUUGAACAAAUUUUUGUUGUUUUUGUUCUUUUAUUAGUGGAUGUUAUUUGAUUUAUACUGGAUUUGGUCUCUUCUAUUUUCA